rnacentral:rRNA from 1 species
UUGUGGUCGGUGUACAGGUGGUGCAUGGCUGUCGUCAGCUCGUGUCGUGAGAUGUUGGGUUAAGUCCCGCAACGAGCGCAACCCUUGUCCCGUGUUGCCAGCAGGCCCUUGUGGUGCUGGGGACUCACGGGAGACCGCCGGGGUCAACUCGGAGGAAGGUGGGGACGACGUCAAGUCAUCAUGCCCCUUAUGUCUUGGGCUGCACACGUGCUACAAUGGCCGGUACAAUGAGCUGCGAUACCGUGAGGUGGAGCGAAUCUCAAAAAGCCGGU